UGCGAUGGAUGUCUGUAGACAAACAGCCGCCCACUGCGUGUUAUUUGCUGGAUGAUAGAGACCAUUUUCAUUUGUAUAUAUAUAUAUACACACACUCUAAAUAAAAGCAAUAUUAUAGCAUUUCAGUUUUACAUAGUUAGCGCUUUUCGUUUUUCUAGGUAUUCUUUUGCAGAAUUUAUGUAAAAUAACCUAAAAUGGCCUAAAAUGAGCUUCCCCUGUUCUGCACACAUCUCUUAUCGUGCUCUUCCACUUUGCAGUUCUAGCAUGGCUCAGCAUGGCUCGACUCUACGCAUUUUAUUUUUGUUUUUCCCCUCAGGCUCAGUACUUGGUACCUCAUGCUUUUUUUUUUUUUUUUUUUUUAAAUGGUACCUGCUCUGACGAGGUUCCAAGUGAGCUGAGCCGAUAUUAUGUGACGUCAACACAGUGGAAAAACAAAUAUGGGAGAAAAAAACUGAAAACUGUAAAGAUUAAAAUUCAGAAAAUGAAGUGAGUUAUAAAAUAAUAGUAAUUGUUGUUGUUGUUGUUGUUGUUGUUAUAAUUAUUAUUAUUAUUAUUAUUAUUAUUAUUAUUAUUAAUAAUAAUAAUAAUAAUAAUAAUAGAGACGAAACAGUCAGACACCCACAGAUCAAAUAGUUUAACAGUAGGGAUUCACCGACAUCACUUUCAUUUUUUUACUUGUUGCCAACAGACCUGACGUCACAACCAACCAACCAACCUCAACCAACCAACCUCUGACACGCCCACUGGCCAAAAAGAACGCAAUUCAUCCCAUAAUAUACAGUAGACACACAUAAAUCAGGCAAUGUCAGAAAACUCUUCUCUUCACCGGCAGUUUUCAUCAUAACAGAGUGGAAUGUAAUGUAAAUAGUUCCUUAAUUUACAGGAGUUACCCACAAAAUCUGUUGCUAGCGCUUGUUCCCCCGUCGCUCGCUGUGAGCACGUUUCAUAGCUUCAGCUCCAAUGUUCUCCUCCUGUUAGCCUGUCUCUGAAUAAUGUUUUGUCAUCCCAGUUCACAACAUCUAUCCACCUUCUUCACAUUUAUGAUGAAAACCUUUAUGCUGGCGAAGAGGCCGUUUCCUGCCAGAUGGGCGUGUCAGUCCCCCAUGACGUCCGGAGCUCCUCACCAAGAACUGAUACAUCAAGGGGCACUUCCUGCGCUGCAUUAUAACGUUUGUAGACAGGACGCAUAGGAGGAGCUCGGACAUGUGGACCAGUGGGGAUCAAACGGCGAGUCCCAAGACGGCUUUUCAUGUACAUACAUCACAAGGCUGGGCAUUGAAAAGAGAAAAGGAAAGAAAAUAAUCGUACAAGUGUAACAUGUUUCUCCAUUCAGUAGAGCUGAAUUCUCAAAGUCAUUCCCAGAGACUGGGUCUUUUUCAGAUUACAUAUGACUUAAUUUCAUCUUUAAAAAUUGGGUCCCCAUGGUAAGAGGUUUGUCAGGUCACUAGAUCUAGAUAAACUACACUGAACAUCUUGUCCUCAGUGACCAUGUGGAUAGCUGAGAGACAGACUGGGGGAUGUAGAGAGGCGUGCGGGAGAUGAAUGGAAAAGGGGGGACACCCCCCUCAUAAUUACACAUUUUUAAAUAACCAUAUGGUGCUUUUCCAGUUCUAGCUUUACUCGGCUCUACUCUACUCGGUUUGGUGUCAAGUCAACAAGGAAGCGGUAUGAAGGAAAUAUGACGGUAAAAGGACGACAGUGAGAAGGUACCUCAUGGCCACUCCCCCUGCCCCCCCUCAGCCAGCCACGCGGUAGUUAGCGUGGAACUCCGGGUGGAUGUCGCAGACGCGUCGCAGCAGCUCGCCCAGCACCGCCUCCCGGUUACCGCGGUAACUCGCCUGGAU